GUGCUUGCUUUGGCAGCACAUAAACUAAAUUGGAACAAUACAGAGAAGAUUAGCAUAGCCUCUGUGCAAAUUCAUUAAGUCUUCCAUAUUUUU
ensembl:snRNA U6 U6 spliceosomal RNA